rnacentral:rRNA from 1 species
CUGUUUAUAGGGUCUAAGUGCGCGUGGCGGGGUAGGAGAGAGGGGAAGAAAGGAGAGCCGAGCAGCAAAGCCACAGCCGCCGAGAGCAGCUACUCGUGCCGCCGCCGCGAAACUCUCGGUGCACCCUCUGUAGCUCCGCCUCCUUCUGCCCACCCUCCAACCUAGGCCAGUACCACCGCAGCCUCGAACCACCUGUUCGCCACCGCACAACGACCCAACCGGCCAGCCACAGCGCGCCUAGGCUAAGCUUAUCCAACAACCGCUGCACGACACCCUCGUCCUGUUACCCUAAACGAGGCCUGCCAGGAACCCUGCGAACACGCCGUCUUAUCGCCGACGUCGCCGUGCCGGCGCCCCUCGACGCAGCUGUGUUUGAUGCCACCGGAGGAGACGUAGGAGGGAGGGGCUCGCGCAGGUCAAAAUAGGCGAGGGAAGGGUAGAUCCGGGAGAAGGGACGCUCCAUCAGGAGAGAGCGGCUCAAAAUUCUACUACCGUACAGAAAUCAGAGUACUGCUUUUAUUUUACUUCCCCCCUUUUGACAAACCUCCUCCCUUACGUUACCAACUGUUAUCCGCUUGACCUCCUAGCUCGUCACACCUCUCAAUCCUGUUGCGACGUCGUAACCAGAUGGACGGUAGCGACAACACAAGACUACGUCUCCUCCAGUACGUCGACCAUAUCUUACCCAUAUUAUAGAGGUAAAAAGAGAUAUAUAAAGAACUACCAAUUAAACAACUAACCAUAAUAAAGCCAACACGUACUAAUCAAAGAGGUGUUCACGUGAAAGAUCUUACUGGCGUGUGUUGAUGAGACUAUUUAGUAACAAAAGUGACAUGAGAAAAAGUAUACGUAUAAGAACUGUUGUUCUACUGUAACACUAUAGUUGAUUAGAGCUUAAAGACGAAGUAUGUUAACGAGGACUUGUACUGGUUGUCACUUUCCUGUUGGAGACACACUAACUUAUCAAUUGAACCGAAAAUUUUACGUUUGUUUUAAAACAUCCCGAUUAAAAUUGAGAGUCUAUUUUCCCUCCAAGGUGUGCAAGGUCAGGGGUAGGAGCAUAGUAACUAAGGGGAACUGGCACUCUCCCUUUCCCAACAAAUUUAUUCUUGAUGAAAAGUCAAAGGUACAAAACAAGAUAACCAGGGGAAAAAAUAAAAGUCAACACCUCUAAAAUUAAUAUCUAGAUUCCUAAGUCCAAACAAGGGUCGGAAAACGAACAUCAAAGACAACUUGAUAGUGAUGAGAAUAACAAAGUCAUUGUACUAAUGUAUCAUUAGGUUAAAUAAGAAUAAAAGUUGAGCGGUAUCCUUAGUUUCACCAUCAUCGUCAAAGACAACUUGUUAAUGAUAAUAAAAUAACACAGUAUAUGGAUUUAAAUAAGAAUCUCUUUUGAACCGUACGUUUGACGUACACGAAUACAUGACAAAGUCAUUGUACUAAUGUAUCAUUAGGUUAAUUAUACAUUCUCGGUUAUCCUUCGUACUGUGACAUCGAGACAUGAUGAUAAAGUCAAUGUACUAAGAUAUAUCGAUUUUUUAACAAUGCGUUUAGAUAUUAACAACGACCUCUUACAUCGAACGUGACUCAAAGAUAUUUUGACGUCAUGUUCGAUUUCCAGACGCUAGAGACGUAGUGUUAGACGUGACUGUCUUCUACCUUCCUUGUUUCCAUGUUUAAGUUCAUACAUAGACGGUUUGAACUAUCCAAAUUGAGAUCCUUAAAGUAAUGAUAACGGUACCACAUGAUAAGAAAUUUCUUAAACAUCCUACAUCUUUUAUACUGAGCUACUCCCUAGGCAACCAAAUUUUUCUGCACCAUACCUAUUCAAAGGAGAAAAGUACAAGUGAUCGGGGAAGAAUAAAUAUCAAGACAUAGUAAAAAUAUAAACCUACGAAAUAAGUUUACUUCUACUCCACCUAUCUGUACAUGGAAAGAUACUUUCUAUACCGUUAGUCUUACAACAUCAAGAUUUUUGUAGAAUAACUAUACAAGGAAGAUAUUAAAACUAGCAUCAAUAACAAUUCAUUCACACACAAAGUAUAUCGGAUCGUAGACGUUAAAGGACGGUACUUUACUUAAACAUACCGUAAACAAUCACGUGAUAGUACCAACGAGAUACGAUCCGUCGUUGUUCUUGAGCAGGUACGAUUCCGUCGAGGUACGAAACAUUGGUUAGUAUGUAAAUAUAACCGAACGAUUGGAAGUACCAGACGAUAGAACAUUAAAAUCCCUGUUGAAAGAUUCCACACUCGGUUGAUAUAAAAGAAGGAUUCACAAGUAUAUAAAAUAGUUUGGUAUACAUAAAUAAAAGAGAGGUAUAAAAUUAGGAUAUAUUUUCAUGUAGGCAAGUAAUAAGCAAAAGAUAAUGGAUACUAUCAACGUUGAUUUUUCUUUAUUUUUAACAGUUCUCCUACAACAUCAAGUUGAUAAGUUUGAAAUACAACGCCAAGAUACUAAUAUAGGCUCAGAAAACGAAAGACAGUUUGAUGUGACGUUUAAUUACAGACCUGUUCACUUAGAGGCUUCUUAUAAGUUAAAAUAAAAUCAAUCCUCCGGGACGUCAAACGCCCAAUGUGUUACGAUGAAAUAGCUGUCAGAAUGAUCUUCGUAAAAUAAAGGAGGAUUAUCCUUGUAAAGCUGAAAUAGUUAUAGUUUAAGAUGCAACUGACACCAAGAGAGAAGAUGACGGUGUCGGGAGCUGCCGUAGUAAACGACAUGUACAAACUAAUGUAUCCGUUUUCUUCUCUUUGACUGUCUAUCCAAUUCCCUGGUUUACUUUGUUAGAGUUAAACUGUUGUAGUGCGGUGCUUGAUCCCCUUCCUCCCCACCCUAACCUGAACCUCCCAAUAUGCGAAUACUUUACCUCCUGCACCACCUCUCGUUCGUUUCCACCGUCAGCAGCUACGGCAACAGUGGCCGUUCAGGUAGUCACACCGGAAGUACAAAUGCACGAUCGUUCACACCCAUUUCUAACUCUUCUAAACUCGGGAGACUGUCAAACCGAAACACUAAACAUCAAGAAUUUGAGUUAAUGUCUUAGUUUUAAAAUCCGGAUGUAAAUUAUUUAGGCCCACAACAUUUCAGGUCUAAGUUUUAAUUCAGGUAACUAAACUCUUUUUUUAUGUCUCUUCUUUCACUUUCCCCGCGUCGGGUGGACCGUGGCGA